rnacentral:rRNA from 1 species
GACGAACGCUGGCGGCAUGCCUAACACAUGCAAGUCGAGCGAGUUGAUUCCUUCGGGAUGAAGCUAGUGGCGAACGGGUGAGUAACACGUGGGUGAUCUGCCCCUUGGUUCGGAAUAACACAGAGAAAUUUGUGCUAAUACCGGAUGAUGACGAAAGUCCAAAGAUUUAUCGCCGAGGGAUGAGCCCGCGUAAGAUUAGGUAGUUGGUGGGGUAAAGGCCUACCAAGCCGACGAUCUUUAGCUGGUCUGAGAGGAUGAUCAGCCACACUGGGACUGAGACGCGGCCCAGACUCCUACGGGAGGCAGCAGUGGGGAAUAUUGGACAAUGGGCGCAAGCCUGAUCCAGCAAUGCCGCGUGAGUGAUGAAGGCCCUCGGGUCGUAAAGCUCUUUUACCAGGGAUGAUAAUGACAGUACCUGGAGAAUAAGCUCCGGCUAACUCCGUGCCAGCAGCCGCGGUAA